CAUACAGACGUAUAACUGAGUCACUUUGCUGUACACCAGAAACUAACACAACAUUGUAAGUAAACUAUACUUCAGUAAAAUAAAAAAAAUUUAAAGCAUGAUGUGCUGUAGGUUUCCAUUAUAUGUCUAUCACGGGGUUAGAAUUUUUUAAUUUUUGAAUUAGAAAUGUUGUUAAAAACCAUCAGAUGCUUUUUUUCUGUGACUUUGACAAUUAUCCUGUUUCUCCCCUUCAGUGCACUAAUGCAAUGAAUAGCACUAAUGGAUUGUCUUGUGUGGAGCCAAACUUUUUAGGACAUCAACUCACUUUGGUUGUGAUGUGUUUCCCUUAUAACACAUACUCUGCUGGCUUGAAUUUGCUAAUGUUUUAUUAAGGGUUUUUUCAUCUAUGCUUCUAAGUAAGACUGGCCUAUGCAUUUACUUUUUAAAAAAAUUUUUUUCUUUUUUUUUUUUUUUUUGGCCAUGUCACGCGGCUUGUGGGAUCUUAGUUCCCCAACCAGGGAUUGACCCAGGCUACGGCAGUGAAAGCGCCAAGCCUAACCGCUGGACCACCAGGGAACUCCCUGAAUUUCUUUACCUGUGUGUUUCUCUGGCCUUGAUAGCAUGGUUCAGCUAGCUUCUUUUUAUGUUCUGGCGCUGAUUUGUUUCCCCUUAAAAAUGGGUCAGCCACGUGUCAAGUGUGACAGGGUGGUCAUAUACGUACUCAUGUAUGAUUAGCUUUUCUUCAGUUAACAUAUACGAGACAGCUUUUAAAAUCAGUGUGUAUAUAUUUUGUGUAGAUCUACCACGUACUUUGAAACUGCUGUCUCAUCUUCUGUUUGGACGUAUCACGAUCUCUCUAAACCGGGUCCCUCCUGGACUCACCUGGCAGGAGUCAACCUUGCCCUCCAGGAACCCCGCACAGAUCAUCCUGUCCGUGAGCGAGAAGUUGUAGAGGGCGCUGCAUGCCUUCUGGUCUAUGAUGCCCACGGAUGCCCGCUGCAGGAGAGAUCACGCACUUGCGGCCCACGGGGAACUUCUGGAUGGCCAGGGGCAGGCAGACAGGCUGCACGUACUUGUUGAAGACCAGGGGCCUGGCCAGCUCCAGCACGGCCACGUCGAAGUCCAGGAUGCUGGGAUUGUACUGGGGGUGCAGCACCGCCCGCCUGAGCCCCAUCUUCACGGGGCUCCCGCCGACGCCCGAGAGGGACGCGGUGCCCAGGUGGGCCCGCACCAGCUCCACCUUUGUGCUGCCGGGAAGGGGCCGAUCAGACUCCCUGCCGCCCCCCCGGGAACCGGGCAGAGCUGCGGGACCCAGGCCCCGGGGAGGGCACCACGAGACCGUGGGCAAGGCAGGGAGCCCCCCCCGGGCCUCAUUUCCUUCUGGGACAAGAAGGCAUGAGAGACCCCCACGGCUUUGUGACAAUCAGAGGUCAAUGCCACCUGCCCUUGAGUGGAGGGGAGGAGCCUGCCCCCCAACUCGGCCCCUCUGUGUCCCUCACAGACCAGCUCGACAGGAUCCUCCCAGAAGCCACUCCCCAGAGCCCCCUACUUCUUCACGCUGCCCCCCAUCCGCCCCCUACCCCGCACCCCGCAGCUGGACGUGACCCUGGCCACGUGCUGGGUCCUAAGUGGUCUCUGCGUGCACGGGGAUUUGAUGGUGGGGGGGCCCGGUGAUGACGGGGGAGCCGAGGGGGCCUUACUGGUUGAAGCAGUGGGCGGCAGACAGCAGCCAGCGGUCCCCCACCACGGUGGCUCCACAGAAGUGCCGGGAACCCUCCUUCAGGCUGACCUGCCAGGGCACCUCCCCGGAGGCGGCCCCGAACCCGCCCACGAUCCGGGUGGGCUUCUCCAGCGCCGGCCUGGCCCCGCACUCUGCGGGGACGAGACAGGAGGGCCCGCGCAUCUCAGCCCGCUCGGCGGGCGGCGGGACCACCCUGGUUCCAGAGGGGCCUCGGGACACGGGGCACAGCCUCCGGGCUCUGGCUGGGCCAGGGCACAAUCAUCCCGUCACACACAUGAAGGAAUCGAGGCUUAAAGGAGCCCUAAGGUCUCAAGUACAAGUACGCAGCCCAGCUGGGGGGAUAUGCGCGAAAAAGAAGAUAAAAUCACAGCAGCCCUGUCCCCACCAGUGUCAGCACGGCAGACACAGGCCACAGCCCAGGCGGCUCUGGACAAAGGCAGAGUCGGGUUGUUACGGGCUUGGGGGCAGGGUGGGUGCAGGCGACUUUAAAUGAGGCACAGUUAAAGAACUACACUCCAAUAAAAAAAUUUUUCAAAAAAUAAAUAAUAAAAUAAGCAGAAAAAAAUGAAAAGAAGUUAAUUUGAUACUCAUUUCCAUAGGCAAAAACAAUAUAAUAUCAAAAUUUUUUCAUUUUUGUUACAUAUAACUUUUUCUAUAUUACGUGUUGUGCGGUUUAUUUGAUUGUAUGCACGUGUGUGUACCCCUGUGUACGUGUGUCUUUAGCAAUAUAUCUUUGGCCAGGUAUACAGUACUUUGGAAAACUGGUAUGUACUCAACAUAAAUCAUGUAUUCUUUCUAAUGGGAGUGUACUUUACUAUUCUUUCCUACUCUUUAUUUUUCAAUAUUUAAUAAAGAUGGGAAGCACA